UUGAACCGAAUGCUUACAGUUACGGAACUGAACUCGCUGAUGUUGUGUGCAAGCCUGCCUUGAGUAGGACGCCUAAUGCAUCACAGAUCUACUCCACUUGGUGAGAGUGUGGGUUCAA
rnacentral:sRNA from 1 species